UUGUGGGGAUUCUGUUGUGUGUCACCAGCGGGCGCUUGAACAAUACGGUGCGUUUCUUUAUAAUGGCCGACCCUAAAUGAGUGGUUGAGCGGCCGAACUGCCACUGCCAUAGCUCCCUGAAGCCAGCCGAAGUUCAGGGGCCGUCAGCCACGGAGAGCAGAUAAGGCAGAGAUACUGGGACUGGUCAGAUAGUGAAUUUGAAUGGCAGGUGUCAUAGUGCUUUGUACCAUGAAAAUUAAAAAAAACACUAAGAAGAUAUUUUCUUUUAAAAUUCUUUGCUGAGUUAUAUUCAGUUUUGAAACACUUCAAUUCCUGCCCAAGGCUGCUCUGGGAGACAUCUGGUGUUCUAGUUGGUCAGUCAUUACCAGCCAGAGAAGAGAAAUGAUGCCGAGUAUUUUUCCAGUCCUUCAGAUGCUGGAAUUCUAAUUCCCACUCCACUGAUCUGCUGUCUCCCAUGUAAUGCCCUUAUGUGGAUGGAUUUAAAGAGAUGGACACAAUGCCUUUAUUUAUUUAUAUGUGGUGCUGAGGACUGAAGCCAGCACCUCACAUGUGCAAGGUAAGUUCUCUACCACUGAGCCACAACCCCAGCCCUGCUUAUUUAUUUAUUUAUUUAUUUGUAGUGCUGAGAAUCGAACCCAGUGCCUCACAUAUGCUAGGCAAGUGCUCUACCAAUGAGCUACAACCCCAGCCUCUUGAUUUUAUUUUCGUAGAUGGUGUGAGGUUCAAUUUUUUUCCUAUGGAUGAACAUUUAUUCCAACACCAUUUUUUAAAAAAUUCUAUCCUUCUUCCAUUGAAGUUUGUUACACCAUUUGUAAAGUCAGUUGAGUGUACUUGUGCUGGUCUGUUACUCAUUUCCCUUGAUCUGUAUCUGUCACUCCCCAAGGAUCCUACUGUCUCAAUUUACUGUAUCCAUCCAAUAUUUUAACUUGCAAUAAAGAUAUUCCCCCAGUUUA